AAUACGAAAAAUUCAGAAAUAUCAACAGUUGACAAUUUUUCCAUUAGGCUACUGCCUGAUCCUUUGUGUGAAGAUCGGGAUUCUGUCUGUGUCGUUUUCCAAAGACAUAAUUUGAGAAUUACUUGUGAAUUUCAGUUUGAAUUCAUGUUGUAGGUACAUGGGAAAGUAAAAGUUCCUAAAAACACGUCAGAUUUUCCUGGAAUCUCUUUGUUCCCAUCAAAAAAAGCCUUAAUCAUUUCAAUAGAAAUAACUUGCGUAAAUUGGCCAUCUGUGAAAUGUGAAUCACGCAUCACGAAAUCAACACUUCUGAGAUAUGAAUAAUCAUUUGAAAUGCAUAGGUGGAACAGAGAGAGAGAAGGUAUUCUUCCAUAGAAGAGGAAACUGCAACAAUAAAGAUUUCGUAUAUUUAAUGAAUGUGUAUGUUUGGUCAAACAGAAAUUCUUAUCUGUAGCACCUUUAUCUGAAGGUAAUUAUUAAGUUUGCACUUCUCGGCUAGCUAGUGAGGAGUUGCGUUAGACAGUUUUUUUUUCUGAUAAAAUCUACUACGAGUUGCAGAGAUGUGUAAGUUUUUCAGGAAUAAAGUGAAAUCGUCUUAUGGAGUGAAUACGAUGCAAGAUUCAACUCAAACUAAACCAAGCGUUUCCGUAAUACCUGGUUUAGACCAAAGUAAAGUAGAUACCCCAUCUGAAACCUAUAAAAAAGUAACUAAGUACACUUGUAAUAAGUAAACCUAACCUCGAAUGUACCAAAUGGCCUACUGAACUAAGAAUUCAGAAAUUAAUUUAAUUUGGAUCAGUAUUACUUAGAGGAAUUUCGAAUGAACUGUUAUCUCCUAAUGUUUUGUAUGAUUUUGAAUAUUAAAUGAUUCAUAAUA